rnacentral:rRNA from 1 species
CCUGGUUGAUCCUGCCAGUAGUCAUAUGCUUGUCUCAAAGAUUAAGCCAUGCAUGUGUAAGCACACACUGUUUUAAAAGUGAAGCCGCGAAUGGCUCAUUACAACAGCCACAGUUUAUUAGAACUUACAAUCAUGGAUAACUGUGGUAAUUCUAGAGCUAAUACACGCACAAAAACUUCAACUGAAUUGGUUGAAGUGCUUUUAUUAGAACAAAAACCGAACGGCGUUUGGCGAAUGUUGAACGUCGAAACUGUUUGGUGAAUCUGAAUAACUAUUUCUGAUCGCAUGGUCUAGCACCGGCGACAUCACUUUCAAGUGUCUGCCUUAUCAACCUUCGAUGGUAGUCUAUGCGACUACCAUGGUGAUAACGGGUAACGGAGAAUCAGGGUUCGACUCCGGAGAGGGAGCCUGAGAAACGGCUACCACAUCCAAGGAAGGCAGCAGGCGCGCAAAUUACCCACUCCCAGCUUGGGGAGGUAGUGACGAAAAAUAACGAGACGAUUCUCGUUUGAGAAACGUUAUCGAAAUGAGUACGCUUUACACACGCUAACGAGUAGCAAUUGGAGGGCAAGUCUGGUGCCAGCAGCCGCGGUAAUUCCAGCUCCAAUAGCGUAUAUUAAAGUUGCUGCGGUUAAAACGCUCGUAGUUGAAUUGUGGUCUUAGACAACAGUCCCCCUACAUAGGUGUGGCACGGUUGCUCGAGAUCUUCAUUCGUGGUUGCUGUUGUUGCUCUUCAUUGAGUGUCAAUGGUGCCUCGAGAUUUUACUUUGAAAAAAUUAGAGUGCUCAAAGCAGGUUGUGAUGCCUGAAUAAUGGUGCUCUAUUUUGUUGGUUUUCGAACCGGAGAUAAUGAUUGAAAGGAACAGACGGGGGCAUUCGUAUUGCUGCGUUAGAGGUGAAAUUCUUGGAUCGCAGCAAGAUGAACAAUUGCGAAAGCAUUUGCCAAGAAUGUUUUCAUUAAUCAAGAACGAAAGUUAGAGGUUCGAAGGCGAUCAGAUACCGCCCUAGUUCUAACGGUAAACUAUGCCAACCAGCGAUUCGCCGAAGUUCAUUUAAGACUCGGCGAGCAGCUUCCGGGAAACCAAAGUGUUUCGGUUCCGGGGGAAGUAUGGUUGCAAAGCUGAAACUUAAAGGAAUUGACGGAAGGGCACCACCAGGAGUGGAGCCUGCGGCUUAAUUUGACUCAACACGGGAAAACUCACCCGGCCCGGACACUGGAAGGAUUGACAGAUUGACAGCUCUUUCUUGAUUCAGUGGGUAGUGGUGCAUGGCCGUUCUUAGUUGGUGGAGCGAUUUGUCUGGUUAAUUCCGAUAACGAACGAGACUCUACCCUAUUAAAUAGUGACAGUAUUGUAUUUUUUGUGCUGAUCACUUCUUAGAGGGACUGGCAAAUUGAAAGCUGCACGAAAAAGAGCAAUAACAGGUCUGUGAUGCCCUUCGAUGUCCGGGGCUGCACGCGCGCUACAAUGAAAGCGUCAACGUGAGUUACGUCCUUACCUGAAAAGGUUUGGCAAUCGAAUGAAACGUUUUCUUGAAUGGAAUAGGGAAUUGCAAUUGUUUCCCUUGAACGAGGAAUUCCCAGUAAGCGUGAGUCAUUAGCUCGCGUUGAUUACGUCCCUGCCCUUUGUACACACCGCCCGUCGCUACUACCGAUUGGAUGAUUUAGUGAGGUGUUUUGACUGGCGCCAGUAGUCGGAUGUAUUCGGCUUCGCGCCGGGAAAUUUCCCAAACCAAAUCAUCUAGAGGAAGUAAAAGUCGUAACAAGGUUUCCGUAGGUGAACCUGCGGAAG